AGCGUUCUGAGCGGUUGCAGGAACUUGAGCGCUUGUUCUAACGGGUCCUCAGCCUGAAACAGUUGUAUUUUAAAAUAAGUUUAAGUAAAGAGUAUAAGAUAUUCUGGCUGAUGAACGUGAUAGUUUAUGCCUAUGUAUAGGUGCAGAUAUAUAAAAUAUAUAAUGUUAAUAAAUAAGGAAUAAUAUGUCUAUGUAUAAAUAAUUAUAUAAAAUUAUAAUAACAGUUAAUUAUGGUUACUUUUAAAUUAAACGGAAAGCCAACAUUCGAACGAUGACAAACAGGUAUGACUCAUAGUUUUUAUAAAACACCCUGCGCCGACCAAUGUUGGUCAUUCUUGUUUGAGACGUCGUUCGGUGCGGAGCUCUCUCUCGAGUUUAAUUCUGUGUUGAAGUGUGAUAUUUUGUGCUAAAAGAUAAGUAUAAUUAUUAUGAUGUUAUUUUAUUUGCUAAAUAAAUGGUAUUAUAUUUAUAAGUGUUAAUAAGUGUUAAUUAAUGUAUUUUGUUCUACUACCUUACUAUGAAUAAAUUAAUAUGCAAAAAUUAUUA